UCACUACAGAAGCUUAUAAGAGGUAUAGCACUAGCCUUUUAAGCUAGAAAUAGAGGCCACCCAACCUCCUUAGUGA
rnacentral:tRNA from 1 species